rnacentral:rRNA from 1 species
UACGGAGGGUGCGAGCGUUGUCCGGAAUCACUGGGCGUAAAGGGCGCGUAGGUGGCGCGAGUAGUCAACGGUGAAAGCCCGGGGCUCAACCCCGAGUCGGCCGUCGAUACUCUCGUGCUUGAGCACUGUAGAGGCAGGUGGAAUUCCGGGUGUAGCGGUGGAAUGCGUAGAGAUCCGGAAGAACACCGGUGGCGAAGGCGGCCUGCUGGGCAGUAGCUGACACUGAGGCGCGACAGCGUGGGGAGCAAACAGG